AAGUCUCUGUGUCCAGACACGUGGCCUAACUGGCAGGGGAAACUGUCUGACGGAGUGGCCACACUGGUCAAACACCUGGGAUACAAGCCUGAGGAGUACAAACUGGGCAGAUCCAAAAUCUUCAUCCGUUUCCCAAAGACGUUGUUUGCCACCGAGGAUGCACUAGAGACCAGGAAACACAGUCUCGCCACAAAGCUGCAGGCGGGAUGGAGAGGCUACAGCCAGAAGUCCAAAUACCAAAAAUUCAGAACCUCAGCUAUUGCCAUCCAGGCGUGGUGGAGAGGGAUCCUGGCGAGGAGGAGAGCCCAGCGCAGGCGACAGGCGGCCGAUACCAUCCGCAGGUACA